rnacentral:rRNA from 1 species
UUGUUGCUGGUUCUCUAGGGAGCAUGUGCACGCCUUGUCAUCUUUAUAUCUCCACCUGUGCACUUUUUGUAGACCUUUCCAGGUCUAUGUUGCUUCAUUAUACCCCAAUUGUAUGUCAUUAGAAUGUUGUGCCUAUAUAAUUUAUACAACUUUCAGCAACGGAUCUCUUGGCUCUCGCAUCGAUGAAGAACGCAGCGAAAUGCGAUAAGUAAUGUGAAUUGCAGAAUUCAGUGAAUCAUCGAAUCUUUGAACGCACCUUGCGCUCCUUGGUAUUCCGAGGAGCAUGCCUGUUUGAGUGUCAUUAAUAUAACCUCGAACCUUUCUUUUGUUGAAGGGUUUGGAUGUGGGGGUUUGCUGGCCUCUUUAAGAGGUUCAGCUCCUCUGAAAUGCAUUAGCAGAACAACCUUGCUCAUUGGUGUGAUAACUAUCUACGCUUAUGUAUGUGAGGGGCAGUUCAGCUUUCUAACCGUCUUUCUGGGACAAUUCAUCAUUAAUGUGACCUCAAAUCAGGUAGGACUACCCGCUGAACUUAAGCAUAUCAAUAAGCGGAGGAA